UACAGAGGUCCCGAGCGUUAGGCGGAAUCACUGGGCUUAAAGCGUGUGUAGGCGGAUCGUUAAGUGCCUUGUGAAAUCCCAUGGCUUAACCAUGGAACUGCUUGGCAUACUGGCGGUCUUGAGCCACUUAGGGGCAACCGGAACAAAUGGUGGAGCGGUGAAAUGCGUAGAUAUCAUUUGGAACGCCAAUGGUGAAAACAGGUUGCUGGGAGUGUGCUGACGCUGAGACACGAAAGCCAGGGGAGCGAACGGGG
rnacentral:rRNA from 1 species